AUGGUUAAGUUAGAAAGGGCGCACGGUGGAUGCCUUGGCACUAGGAGCCGAUGAAGGACGGGACGAACACCGAUAUGCUUCGGGGAGCUGUAAGCAAGCUUUGAUCCGGAGAUUUCCGAAUGGGGAAACCCACUGCUCGUAAUGGAGUAGUAUCCAUACUUGAAUACAUAGAGUAUGAGAAGGCAUACCCGGGGAACUGAAACAUCUAAGUACCCGGAGGAAGAGAAAGCAAAUGCGAUUCCCUGAGUAGCGGCGAGCGAAACGGGAACAGCCCAAACCAAGAGGCUUGCCUCUUGGGGUUGUAGGACACUCUAUACGGAGUUACAAAGGAACGAUAUAAGCGAAGAGGUCUGGAAAGGCCCGCCAAAGAAGGUAACAGCCCUGUAACUGAAAUGUUGUUCUCUCCAGAGUGGAUCCUGAGUACGGCGGAACACGUGAAAUUCCGUCGGAAUCCGGGAGGACCAUCUCCCAAGGCUAAAUACUCCCUAGUGACCGAUAGUGAACCAGUACCGUGAGGGAAAGGUGAAAAGCACCCCGGAAGGGGAGUGAAAUAGAUCCUGAAACCGUGUGCCUACAAGUAGUCAGAGCCCGUUAAAGGGUGAUGGCGUGCCUUUUGUAGAAUGAACCGGCGAGUUACGAUCCCGUGCAAGGUUAAGCAGAAGAUGCGGAGCCGCAGCGAAAGCGAGUCUGAAUAGGGCGCAUGAGUACGUGGUCGUAGACCCGAAACCAGGUGAUCUACCCAUGUCCAGGGUGAAGUUCAGGUAACACUGAAUGGAGGCCCGAACCCACGCACGUUGAAAAGUGCGGGGAUGAGGUGUGGGUAGGGGUGAAAUGCCAAUCGAACCUGGAGAUAGCUGGUUCUCUCCGAAAUAGCUUUAGGGCUAGCCUCAAGGUAAGAGUCUCGGAGGUAGAGCACUGAUUGGACUAGGGGCCCCUACCGGGUUACCGAAUUCAGUCAAACUCCGAAUGCCGAUGACUUAUCCUUGGGAGUCAGACUGCGAGUGAUAAGAUCCGUAGUCGAAAGGGAAACAGCCCAGACCGCCAGCUAAGGUCCCAAAGUAUACGUUAAGUGGAAAAGGAUGUGGAGUUGCUUAGACAACCAGGAUGUUGGCUUAGAAGCAGCCACCAUUUAAAGAGUGCGUAAUAGCUCACUGGUCGAGUGACUCUGCGCCGAAAAUGUACCGGGGCUAAACGUAUCACCGAAGCUGCGGACUGUUCUUACGAACAGUGGUAGGAGAGCGUUCUAAGUGCUGUGAAGUCAGACCGGAAGGACUGGUGGAGCGCUUAGAAGUGAGAAUGCCGGUAUGAGUAGCGAAAGACGGGUGAGAAUCCCGUCCACCGAAUGCCUAAGGUUUCCUGAGGAAGGCUCGUCCGCUCAGGGUUAGUCGGGACCUAAGCCGAGGCCGAAAGGCGUAGGCGAUGGACAACAGGUUGAUAUUCCUGUACCACCUCCUCACCAUUUGAGCAAUGGGGGGACGCAGGAGGAUAGGGUAAGCGCGGUAUUGGAUAUCCGCGUCCAAGCAGUUAGGCUGGGAAAUAGGCAAAUCCGUUUCCC
rnacentral:rRNA from 1 species